UCCUACGGGAGGCAGCAGUGGGGAAUAUUGCACAAUGGGCGCAAGCCUGAUGCAGCAACGCCGCGUGAGGGACGAAGGCCUUCGGGUUGUAAACCUCUUUUAGUAGGGAAGAAGCGACUGGGCUUUCCUGGGAGUGACGGUACCUGCAGAAAAAGCACCGGCUAACUACGUGCCAGCAGCCGCGGUAAUACGUAGGGUGCAAGCGUUGUCCGGAAUUAUUGGGCGUAAGGAGCUCGUAGGCGGUUUGUCGCGUCUGCUGUGAAAACCCGAGGCUCAACCUCGGGCCUGCAGUGGGUACGGGCAGACUAGAGUGCGGUAGGGGAGAUUGGAAUUCCUGGUGUAGCGGUGGAAUGCGCAGAUAUCAGGAGGAACACCAAUGGCGAAGGCAGAUCUCUGGGCCGUAACUGACGCUGAGGAGCGAAAGCAUGGGGAGCGAACAGGAUUAGAUACCCUGGUAGUCCAUGCCGUAAACGUUGGGAACUAGAUGUGGGGACCAUUCCACGGUCUCCGUGUCGCAGCUAACGCAUUAAGUUCCCCGCCUGGGGAGUACGGCCGCAAGGCUAAAACUCAAAGGAAUUGACGGGGGCCCGCACAAGCGGCGGAGCAUGCGGAUUAAUUCGAUGCAACGCGAAGAACCUUACCAAGGCAUGACAUAUACCGGAAACGGCUGGAAACAGUCGCCCCGCAAGGUCGGUAUACAGGUGGUGCAUGGUUGUCGUCAGCUCGUGUCGUGAGAUGUUGGGUUAAGUCCCGCAACGAGCGCAACCCUCGUCCUAUGUUGCCAGCACGUAAUGGUGGGAACUCAUGGGAUACUGCCGGGGUCAACUCGGAGGAAGGUGGGGAUGACGUCAAAUCAUCAUGCCCCUUAUGUCUUGGGCUUCACGCAUGCUACAAUGGCCGGUACAAAGGGCUGCGAUACCGCAAGGUGGAGCGAAUCCCAAAAAGCCGGUCUCAGUUCGGAUUGAGGUCUGCAACUCGACCUCAUGAAGUCGGAGUCGCUAGUAAUCGCAGAUCAGCAACGCUGCGGUGAAUACGUUCCCGGGCCUUGUACACACCGCC
rnacentral:rRNA from 1 species